GAGAAAUAUUUCAUGGUCUGAACAUUACUUAUAUAAAAUAAGCUAGUACACUGAGUUAAUGUUUUUUGUCUCUACCUAAAUCAUAUUCUAAAUUAUCUGAAAAUUAAGCCUUGUGAUUGUUUUUACAUUUGUAUUUUUAACAGUUUGGAUUGCAAGAGCCUCUAAUAUUUUUAAUCCCUAUUUCCUUGAGAAGACGCUCAAUAAAGAUACCUGAGAUGGAAACAGAUACCGAAGAAGAGUCCAAAUCUCUCCACAUGUUGAUCCAUCUCACUCAUCAUGCUCUCUAUAUCACAUCCAAAAUGAAGAACUCUUCUGCAGAGAUCACUUCAGGAAAUCUUCUAGAAAGAAAAUAAAAUCAAGUACACACAAGAAGAGACUACCAGAAAGAUAUGUGCUCUGUUCUCAGUCUAGUGAAAAGUGAUAAAAAAAGAUGUAGAUCUGCAGUUUCCGACAGGACAGCUUAUUCACACCAAGCUGAAGGAAAGUUAGGUUUGUACUGUGGGUGCUUUGGAUGGACAUGGACUCUGGGAGGAUUCCAUUACAAACAUACAAUCAAACAAGCAAAAGUAUAGCUAUUUCCACUGGAAUUCUUGAGAUGCAGUUCUGGGGAGAAGGUUAUAUUACAUGAAUGCGGCUUUUACACAGACACUGUUUUAGAAGUGUGGUUCAAAGACCUGCCAUGUGGAAACAAAUACAAGCAGAGCUCAACUACUGAUGGGUGCUAAAGGAUGAAAUAAGUCUUGUAGGACUGGAAAGUCCAGAAGCCUGCAUAAGAAGGUCACCACUUGUCAGAAGUGGAUUUAAGUUCCUCUGUUUUGUUGUAAGAUGCUGUUUUCUAAGAAUUUAUGCAGUGGUUUAUUAAAGAGGAAGAAAACAUAUGUGGCUACUCUUGCUGUUCGUGAAGGGUACAGUGACAAGCUGUGGCCUAAUCAGAGGUUCACACACGCCUGAG
ensembl:lncRNA